AACAAAACUCCCUCUCGGCUCUCUCUAUCAUGUGACACUCACCAACACAAUUAACACUCUUUCUUUUCCUCUCUCUCUCUCUCCCUCUCUCGGCCACUCCUUCCCUAGCAGCACACACUACACACAGAAACACACAAUUGCACACACAAGUAAACACUUGAAAUAAAAAGUCAGGAUGAAGACGUUGGGUUCCUCCAAAGUUUCUAGAGUUUGAGAGCAGCACUGCCAUUAUAUAGCAAAGCUAAAGCCGUUGCCAAGGUCCCUUUUAGUAAUCUUUAAGUUCUAGUUCAAGAAAUGGGUUUUUGUAAAGUUUCAAAUUAUUAUUUUUAGUUUGUUAUUUUUUACGCUGUAUCUGUGGGCUUAUUUAUGUUAUACGUCUAAUGAGGAGCAAUUUGGAACAAGUUUGGUAAAGUAUGUGCUUGUUUUGAAUGAGUUUAUGAAAUUGAGAUCUGGUUGUAAAUAGUUAUUUUUGCUACUUUUCACUUCUUUUUUUUUCUUUUUUAAAUACCGAGGACGGAAAUGGAAUCUAUGCAAAAGACUCAGUGGAAGAUGAUAGUUUGGGGUAAAUCUAUCACUGGAAGGCUAUGACGGGCGGUGGUUGGUGGCGGCAAAGGCUGGCAGCACUACCGUUGCCAGUGCUCAUUUCUGCAGUGGCUAGGGUUGAGGAAGAAGAAGAGGGAAAAGGAAAAAGCAGAAACAAAAAAAGGAAAAUCAAGUUUAGUAAAACUACAUAGCAUUGCCCUAGAUCUAAACUACACUGCUCCACUAAAGGGUUGAAAAUGGGUUUUAAAAUCAGAAACUAGAUUUGCAAUUUGGUCCAUCAAUUUCUUGAAACCUCACUAUAGGCCUACAACUUUGAUUCUAUUGCAUCUAGGUCCAUUUUUAAUGUAUUUUGGUCCAUGAACUUUAAUUUUGAUCCCUAAUCUUUUUAAUAAUAUGAUUUUGACCAUUAAAACUCUCUAAUGCUACAAUUAGGUCCCACUAGAAUGAUAAUUUUUCAAUUAGAGUAGUUUGAUUUCUUUAAUUACUAUUUUAUUCCUCAAUUGUGCAUUUUUAUGUGUUUUUGUAUGACUAUUGCAACUAAAUGACUUAGCUUUGGUCUUUUAUUACUAUGAUAUGAUAGUGGUAUCUUUAUUCUUUUUGUUCGUGUUGUGAGUUCUAAAUAGGGAAACCUUAAACUGACACUUUAAAGUGGGUACCCUUCUUGGUUUUACAUUCAAUUAUGUGCUAUUUUGUGUUUAUAUGUUCUAAGUUGUUUUAAUUUCUUAGUUUCCCAUUACAAUACCUUGUUAGUCAUAAUUUUACUCUUAAAAUGCUUGUUUAUUUUACUCUAAUUUUAUCAUGUUCUAUUCAUUUAAAUAAAUAAAAUAGUUCACUUAUUUUUUUCAUUUUCCCUUUGUUAGAUUGCAGUUAAGACCUCACAUAUAACAGAUAGGUUUAUUUUUCAUCAUUUCCCUGUCAGAUUGUAGUUAUGUUCUCUAAUGUAAUAGAUAAGGCCUGUGUGUGUUACGUGCUCUUAUGUGCUUACAUAUUUGCAUGCUUUCUGAUAGAAUGGUUAUUUGGCGUAUUUUGCACUGCUAUUCUGUCCUAAUUUUGGCUAUUCACGGUACUAAGAAUUGGAAUUUCACUCAUAUUCGAUAUUUGUGGGAAUUGUAGGUGGUAGGCAUGAAAAAUGAUCUCGCAGGGUGAAUUUCCAGAAGACUUCCCGUUCCAAGGCGUGGCCACGCCUUAGAAGGUGGACGAAACCGAAAGACGGACCGUGGUCCAUGUGGACCAAGCGCAUGGGAUCAAAACUCCAAAAGGGAAAUAGCUUUUGUUAAAUCAACUGGGCCAGACGUUGCUUCCAAAAGAAAAAAAACCUCCUGCGGCGGCUAUAAAGAGAUAGGAAAAAGCAAGAUUCAAGAAUCAUCUGUUUUGGAGGCUUAGUUUUCUUUUCCUACGUUUCUUGGCGGUCAGACGCUUUUUCUCUUCUUUCGCUUUCCGUCAGCCGCAAUUGGAUUUUUAGCUUUAAAUCUCCUUUUGUUCUUUUUU
rnacentral:lncRNA from 1 species